AUAAACUCUAUCGGCUGAUCCGGU
rnacentral:siRNA from 1 species